rnacentral:rRNA from 1 species
GUAGGUGGCAAGCGUUGUCCGGAAUUAUUGGGCGUAAAGCGCGCGCAGGUGGGUUCUUUAAGUCUGAUGUGAAAGCCCCCGGGCUCAACCGGGGAGGGUCAUUGGAAACUGGGGAACUUGAGUGCAGGAGAGGAAAGUGGAAUUCCACGUGUAGCGGUGAAAUGCGUAGAUAUGUGAGGAACACCAGUGGCGAAGGCGACUUUCUGGCCUGUAACUGACACUGAGGCGCGAAAGCGUGGGGAGCAAACAGGAUUAGAUACCCUGGUAGUCCACGCCGUAAACGAUGAGUGCUAAGUGUUGGGGGGUUUCCGCCCCUCAGUGCUGCAGCUAACGCAUUAAGCACUCCGCCUGGGGAGUACGGUCGCAAGACUG